AUGAGGUUAAUGGCCAAUGGUUUGCCAGCUCCAUGCGGCAUGGAGGGCGUCGCUGCGUUGGAAGCAGAGCAGGCCGCCACCACCAUGAAUCCAGGAUGUGAGAGGGUGCCGUCAAACUGGAGGUACGGGAGGGAAGAAGGCCACAGCGGCAGAGGUGGAAGGUCGCGGCAGCAGAGGAGGAAGGUCGCUGAGGGGCAAAUUCUGGCGAUGGGGGAGAAUCUUGAUAGUGAUAGGGUUGGUCGGUGCGGUGACGAGCAUCCAACUCAUGCCUUUUUUCCUCCGGGUUCGCCUUCAUCUCGGGCUUGUGCCUGCCUACUCAUUUGUUGGAUACAGGUGUUCUUCGGGACAUGA
rnacentral:rRNA from 1 species